rnacentral:lncRNA from 1 species
CGGCAUUUAGGAUUUUGGAGCCUACCAUCAGUGUUCGCUCCCGGUGAUCAGUUUCAUGAUUGCUUCCAUUUGCACUAGUUUUUGGCUUCAGUGGAGACGGUGGUAACUCUUCAGGCAAUCCACUCUGCUCAAAUUCCGCUGGAGAAGAGCAGGCCCUCUCAUUUCUCGUAUCAAGCUCAACCUUGCGUCCAAGUGGAUCCUUAGGAUUCGAACAAUUGGCAAUCCCUGUCUUUGGAAACUUCUUAAUAUCAUCCUCGAAAAUGUCAAACCCUUCAUUUUCAUUAAUUUUAUUGAGUUUAUUUUCCUCUUUAAGCAUCUUAGUAUCGAUCUCAAAUGAAUCCAACCUGGGAUCCAACCAAAAAUUUAUUAGUAACAGAUGCACUAGAAAACAUUGGUAAAUGAUAUCUUUCUCAAAUGAAAAAUCAUCGAGCAAAUCAAAACUUCAGUUUCAUAAUCUACGUACUCAUUGAAAUCAAAUGAGAAAGCAAAAUUAGCUUUCCUUUCUGGCUUUCCCGAAAUAGCUUCUCCUCUCAGUCUUUCUUUGAACUUUGCUGACCUUUUCUUGGGGCUA